ensembl:lncRNA
GAAUGCUCUUUCAUCUGAGUGCCGCUAUGGAUGGAGUUGCACGGAGUCCAGAUACCUUGCUGGGGAAAAAAAAAUUGAAUAAAGCAAAUUAUUAGCUGGCAUCAUCCUGUGGCCUGAGUGGCCUCAAAGAUAUUAAUCUCUGUAUUAGCUGAUGAAGAUUUGUGGCCUGUAAAGCACGCAGUAUCUGACUACAUGAUUGUGGUAUCUCUUCUGUUCCUAGAGGCUACGUGCUGAUGAAACAAUCUAUAUUAGCUCACUCCAGAGUUUGCUGUUGUAAAAUUGCCCAAGAAAUAGUUGCUAGUCCAGUAGUCACUGUAAACUGCCUCUUUGAUUCUGCCAUUAUGUGUAUGUAUGUGGACUUGAGACCUAGAAAUUGUUUCAUGAGCACAGGGGGUGAGGGGUGUCACCAGGUGAGCCAUCAGUGUGCCAUGUCAGUCAGCUGCUGGCUGACUGCAGUGUGAUAUGCAAGCAUAUACAUGAAGCACAUAGGGAGGCAGUGGAUGUGUAUCAGACAGCAGCUGGUAUAUCAGCUCUGGUACACCUUCUACAAUGAGAGAAAGAUACAUUACAAUAUCAGGCAGAGUGUUAACUCUUUUCUCUUUGCCUAUGGAGAUUUUUAUUUCCUGUAUUUGUACAUUACCCAUUGUUUGUUUGGAAGAUUAGUCCUUUUACUUUGUUCCUUCUGGUCCUAUGUUACUGAGAUGCAGCCAGUUUUGUUAUCCCACUGUAAAAGCAGAAUAAGUCUGUUGCAUUUGUGCUUGGUACUGUGAACUUCAAACAGCAUGGUAACUCCAGAUUUAUCAUUAAGUGUAUAAAACAUGGUGCGUGUUCCCCUCUUAAGAGGGAAGGCCAGAUUCUCUGCUGAUGUAAAAUGAUAGAGCUUUGGAAAUAAGAGGUCCUGACCCAGGGUUCUUUACCCAGAGAGAAUAAUUGAGUAGGAAGAUGUAUUGUUUUCUACUUUAUUCCAUGACUUCAGCACAACUACUUUUCUCAGCAUGAGCCCAAGUCAUCAAAGUUUGUUGCUGUAGAGUCAUUCACUGCAGGCUUUCUCUGAUAACCUGCUGCAGAUGUUAGUGUGAUGCCACAGUGCUCUCGCACCUGCAUUUAUGGUUUCUAAAGUGCUUGGUGUCCUCUGUAGAAUGACAUGACCUUACCUUGUGAUGUAACCUCUUUCUUGAUGUGACAAAAGUAUAUUCUACCAACAAUAACUGCCUUGGUGUUACUUUCCUCAAAUGCUCUUGAGAGGAUGUGGCAUUAACAGUGAAAGUUAUGCUGACAAAAUAGAUGGUAAGCAAAGAAGUCUAGGAUGGUUUGGUUUGUGAAAGUCAGAAGUAGGAGUUAAUCAUGUGAUUAAGUAAAAGGUAAAAGAUGGUGGUAGUAGUAGUAGUAGUAGCUCUAUUAACAAUAGAAAAUUAAAUAAUAUUGCACAGCGUUUAAGUAAGGAAGUAAAGGGAAUGGGGGAUAUAUUCUCCAUUGUUUUAUAAGCAAGCAGAGGAGAGGUGAAGAUGACUAUUCUGUCCCCAGUGGGGAUGCAGGAAUGUUCAGAGGAAAGUUACCUCUGAAUGUACUCUUUGCUGUUCACAAUGUCAGGAAGCAGGGCAGGUGUGCUGAGUUCUGCUAGAAAGGAAAGUAUCCCUUGCAAAGUUCUGUUCUUAUAUAGCCAUAUUGCUUCUGGAUGUAUCUCUACUAAGUAAACUAUCUUAGCAUGUCCUCACACAGUGUAGGCAUUUUCUAAACUCCAUGCAAGAGAUCACUUGAGGUUCAAACUGGGGGCUCCUUUUGAGCAAAGUUUGAGUACCUGAAUCACCAAAGCAAUGUUUAAUAAUGUAAUUAAGCUAGCUUUUCUAGAUUCCUGGGAGCUGAAUUUUAUGGAUACUCAUGAGCUGAGCCAACUCCUUGUCUCAAAUACCUUUUCACAGUAAGAACUAUAGUCUCUCUUCUCUGGUCUGACUACAAGCACUGUAAAAUAUAAAUCUUUCCUUCUUCCUUUUGUAGCUGAUACUCUGUGGUCUGUCUUGGUAAUUGUUGCCACUUCAAGCUUCAAGAUUGCCAGAAAUGUUUAUCUCAAUAGAUAAAUUUUAUCUCCUCUUCUCUUAUGUGAAGUUCUUACCAGUCUUCAGGUUUUCUAAUGUGUGGGUGAUACUGAUGAGGCACCUGCUUUGAAAGCUGAGGGAGCCUGUUACUAAAUGCACUCAGUUUGGAUUAUAUCAUGUACAAAUCUACUGAACAUUCUGGCAGGAGGUUGUGUCAAAGUAGCACUGUGCGUCCUGGAAUGGGGCUGCAGGCUCUGGAAUCAAAUGACACCCUCUUGGAAAAUUUUUUUCCAAUGCUGUGCUGGUGAAGAUUUGUCAUUAGCUUUCAAAGGUCUCAGAUGUAUUUAUGCAUCUCACCAGCAGGGAAAUAAUUUCUGGGGAGACAAUGGUAAAGAUGGAGACCAAUACAGAUGAGCUGUGAUUUGUGAAUGUUUUGGUAGAAAGGUGACUUCCAAACCAAUGAAUAAUUCAUCAAUGAUGAAUCUUUGUAUUACCUCACAGGACAGCUGGUGGUGGGUGCCAUCACAAGAGAAAUGUUGCUUUGUCAAGGUCAGCACAGAUAUUUUAUUCUUCCUUCAUGUAGAGGAUCCUGUAAUAGUUCUUGAUGUACAGUUAUGGCCUUGCUUAUUUAAGUGUACCAAUAAAAAGUGUCUUG